rnacentral:rRNA from 1 species
GUGGGUAGUUUGACUGGGGCGGUCUCCUCCUAAAGAGUAACGGAGGAGCACGAAGGUUGGCUAAUCCUGGUCGGACAUCAGGAGGUUAGUGCAAUGGCAUAAGCCAGCUUGACUGCGAGCGUGACGGCGCGAGCAGGUGCGAAAGCAGGUCAUAGUGAUCCGGUGGUUCUGAAUGGAAGGGCCAUCGCUCAACGGAUAAAAGGUACUCCGGGGAUAACAGGCUGAUACCGCCCAAGAGUUCAUAUCGACGGCGGUGUUUGGCACCUCGAUGUCGGCUCAUCACAUCCUGGGGCUGAAGUAGGUCCCAAGGGUAUGGCUGUUCGCCAUUUAAAGUGGUACGCGAGCUGGGUUUAGAACGUCGUGAGACAGUUCGGUCCCUAUCUGCCGUGGGCGCUGGAGAACUGAGGGGGGCUGCUCCUAGUACGAGAGGACCGGAGUGGACGCAUCACUGGUGUUCGGGUUGUCAUGCCAAUGGCACUGCCCGGUAGCUAAAUGCGGAAGAGAUAAGUGCUGAAAGCAUCUAAGCACGAAACUUGCCCCGAGAUGAGUUCUCCCUGACUCCUUGAGGGUCCUGAAGGAACGUUGAAGACGACGACGUUGAUAGGCCGGGUGUGUAAGCGCAGCGAUGCGUUGAGCUAACCGGUACUAAUGAACCGUGAGGCUUAACCUUACAACGCCGAAG